rnacentral:rRNA from 1 species
CGGAAGGCGGGUAACAGAUCCUGCUUGCUGGGAUGCUGACGAGCGGCGGAGGGGUGAGUAAUGCAUAGGAAUCUGCCCGAUAGUGGGGGAUAACCUGGGGAAACCCAGGCUAAUACCGCAUACUUCCUACGGGAAAAAGGGGGCUUCGGCUCCCGCUAUCGGAUGACCCUAUGUCGGAUUAGCUAGUUGGUGAGGUAAAGGCUCACCAGGGCAACGAUCCGUAGCUGGUCUGAGAGGAUGAUCACCCACAUCGGGACUGAAACACGGCCCGAACUCCUACGGGAGGCAGCAGUGGGGAAUAUUGGACAAUGGGGGCAACCCUGAUCCACCCAUGCCGCGUGUGUGAAAAAGGCCCUCGGGUUGUAAAGCACUUUCAGCGAGGAAAAACGCCUAGCGGUUAAUACCCGCUAGGAAAGACAUCACUCGCAAAAAAAGCACCGGCUAACUCCGUGCCACCACCCGCGGUAAUACGGAGGGUGCAAGCGUUAAUCGGAAUUACUGGGCGUAAAGCGCGCGUAGGUGGCUUGAUAAGCCGGUUGUGAAAGCCCCGGGCUCAACCUGGGAACGGCAUCCGGAUCUGUCAAGCUAGAGUGCAGGAGAGGAGGGUAGAAUUCCCGGUGUAGCGGUGAAAUGCGUAGAGAUCGGGAGGAAUACCAGUGGCGAAGGCGGCCUUCUGGACUGACACUGACACUGAGGUGCGAAAGCGUGGGUAGCAAACAGGAUUAGAUACCCUGAUAGUCCACGCCGUAAACGAUGUCGACCAGCCGUUGGGUGCCUAGCGCACUUUGGUGGCGAAGUUAACGCGAUAGUCGACCGCCUGGGGAGUACGGCCGCAGGUUAAACUC